AGGGGAAACACAGGAAGUGUUUAAGGCAUGC
rnacentral:piRNA from 1 species